rnacentral:lncRNA from 1 species
ACCCCUCUGCCUUUUACUUCAUUCACUUCCUAAAUAAAUGAACCCUUAAGGCAUUCACUGCCUAAGGGUUCAUGAAGGUUGAGGUAAGAAAUCCCUAAGCUACUUCUUUCACUUCAUUUACCUCCUAAGACAAGGGACCUUGAAGGGCAUUUAUUGCCUAAGGGGUUCAGAAUGGCUUAGGUUGAGAAAUCCCUAAUCAUUUUUUUCUCACUUCCUUCACCUCUCAAGGCAAUGACCUCAUAAAGGGCAUACAUUCUCUAAGGAUUGAAGUAGGGUUAGGCCAAGAUAUCCAUGACUACCCCACUCACUUCAUUUGCCUCCUAAGGUAAUAGUCCCUCGAAGGAUUCAUCACCUUAAAGCUUAAUUAGGUUCAAGUCAAGAAAUCUCUUAUCCUAUCCUUCUCACUUUAUUCACCUCCUAGGGCAAGGGACUAUCAAGGGCAUUUAUCCUAUAAGGGUUUAUAUGUGCUCAAGUUGAGAAAUCUUAUACCCUACUUAUUUGAUCACUUCAUUUGCCUUCCAAAGCAAGUGACCCUUAAAGGGCAUUGGGUUCAAGUGAUCAACUUCAGUUGAGAAUCCUUAACCUUUACCUCUCACUUCAUUUCCCUCAUGAAGUAAACGACCAUCUAAGGCAUUCAUCUCCUAAAAGUUUAAGUGGGCUAAGGUUGAUAAAUCACUAACCUUACUUUUCGUCAUUUACUUGCCUCUUAAGGCUUUGGACCCUUAAGGGUAUAUUUGCUUAUGGGUUUAGGUGGGUUAGGUUAAGAACAUCCUUGGGGAAACCAUUCAAGCCUCUUUUAGGCAGGUUUAAGUGACAAUUUUCACAUGACACAAUAAUAUAAUUAAGAAAUAACAUAAAUUUAAUUUAUUCAAAUUAAGUGUAAUCAUAUUUGUAUCCUUAUUAUGUCAACUUGUGUGAUCCAUUUUAAUAAACAAGUUGUGUUUAAAUUUGAUUAUUUCAUUUAAUUCGUUCACGUAAUCUUCUUAAAAUGACAUGUUCAUGACUUAUAUAAUUCAUAAAAAUUUAUUAAUUUUAUAUAUUUAGAAAUUAUAAAAAUUUAAAAUAAUUUCAAAAUUAUAAAAUAAUAUAUAGUUGAAAAUUUAAUAAUUUAAGUAAAAUUUUAUAUAUUUCAUCACAAAGAUUAAAAAAAUUUUAUAAUUAAAACAUUAAAUAAAAAAAAUAAACAUUUACAAAAUCAAAAUAAAAAUUUACUUUCCAUAUUCUAAACAUAUUAUAAUUAAAAUUAAAUAAUUAAAUUAAUUAUCAUUUAUAAAAUUAAAACUUCAUAUUUAAACUAGUUAAAAAGUAUUUCAAGAUUCAUUAUUCAACUUUAACUCAUUCAUUAAAUGAGUUGAACAAAUCAUGUCAUAUUCUCUGUAUAAUUAACGAGUCGUGUUUAUAUCAGGUCACUCUAACACAAUUAUUAAACCAAUUAUAUUUAAGUAAAUUUUCACUAUUUUUUACUUAAUAAUGAUGUCGUUGUGCAAAUUAAUAAGUCGAUUUUACCACACAAUUAUUAGAAGCCCAUACAAAAAUUUAAGAUCAAAGGUCACAAUCUUCCAUUUUGUUUUAUUUUUUUAAUAUUUAGUGACAAUUUUUGGGUUACCAAAGAAUUUUAUUUAGAAUUAUUAUACUAAGUUCUAAUCGUUAGGUAUGAGGGACGAAUUUAAGAAUCUCAUACCUAAUCCUUUCUUUUUCACUUCCUUCACCUCCUAAGGCAAGGAACUCAUAAAAGGGCAUGCAUCUGUGGAUUGUAGUGGGCUUUAGGCCAAGAUAUUCAUGACUACCCCACUCAUUUCAUUUGCCUCCUAAGGUAAUAGACCCUCGGAGGAUUCAUCACCUUACAGCUUAAUUAGGUCCAAGUCAAAAAAUCUCUUAUCCUCUCCUUCUCACUUUAUUCACCUCCUAGGGCAAGAGACUAUCAAGGGCAUUUAUCCUAUAAGGGUUUAAAUGUGCUCAAGUUGAGAAAUCUUAUACCCUACUUAUUUGAUCACUUCAUUUGCCUUCCAAAGCAAGUGACCCUUAAAGGGCAUUGGGUUCAAGUGAUCAACUUCAGUUGAGAAUCCUUAACCUUUACUUUUCACUACAUUUCCCUCAUGAAGUAAAUGACCAUCUAAGGCAUUCACCUCCUAAAAGUUUAAGUGGGCUAAGGUUGAUAAAUCACUAACCUUACUUUUUGUACAUUGUUUGCCUCUUAAGGCUUCAGACCCUUAAGGGCAUCUUUGCUCAAGAGUUUAGGUGGGUUAGGUUAAGAACAUUCUUGGUGCAACCAUUCAAGCCUCUUUUAGGUAGGUUUAAGUGACAAUUUUCACAUGACACAACAAUAUAAUUAAAAAAAAUAACAUAAAUUUAAUUCAUUCAAAUUAAAUGUAAUCAUAUUUGUAUUGUUAUUAUGUCAACUUGUGUAGUUCAUUUUAAUAAACGAGUUGUGUUUAAAUUUGAUUGUUUCAUUUAAUUCGUUCACGUAAUCUUCUUAAAAUGAAAUGUUCAUGACUUAUUUAAUUCAUAAAAAUUUAUUAAUUUUAUACAUUUAGAAAUUAUAAAAAUUUAAAAUAC